rnacentral:lncRNA from 1 species
GGUCUAAUGUCAAUGUUUACAUGGUAUCAGAGCCUAGACGACGAUCCGAUUAUGUUCUCUACAUCUCGUUGUCUUGGUUGAACUCUUUUUGCGAUUUUCUAGGGAUUUUUCUGAGACCUUAUGGUCGAUGAUGGUUCUGACCUAGAUCGGAUGCUUUUCCGAGUUUUUCGACAUGAUAUUUGAGUAUAUUCUCUUCACCCGAACAUUCUAAGAGUUUUCCUGCUGAUUUUGGGUGGUUUCUCAGUGACCUAUCGGCUUCUAGGGUUUCUGAUAGUUUAACCUAGGGUUCUAUUGCUUUCCGGUGGCUCGAUUCUCACUCAGUGGACGUUUUGGGUGCCUCUCCGACGUUCCUGACUGACCUAUCGGCUUCUAGGGUUUCUGGUGGUUUAACCUAGAGUUUUACUGCUAUCCGGUGGCUCGAUCUUCACUCAGUGGAUGUUUUGGGUGCCUUUCCGACAUCCCUGACCACACUUCCAGUAUGGAUUUCGACGGUUACACCUAGGGUGUUGUACCUAGGGUUUUCUCUGUUGUUUGAAGGCCGAUCUUCUCCGGUCACGAAGAAGGAGGGUAACUCUGUCCUUAUCUUCGGUAUUAUAUGUGAUUAUCUGACUCUCUGUAUUUGAGCAUCUGGUGUUGUCUGUGAAUACCUGAUUUGGUUAUACUCUGUUUGUUGGUUGUUAUGUGUAAAUACCUGAUUUGGUUAUACUCUGUUUGUUGAAAAAUUAUUCUUUUAAGCCGGUUCAUUGACUAUGGCUUCUAACACAAAUAGUGGUGCCUCCUCUUCUGUAGACUCUUCCAGUCCCCUUUUUGUAUAUUCUUCUGAUGUUCCUGGGGUCUCUCUCGUUCCCACUCCCUUCUCGGGUAGUGGUUAUGGGGGCUGGAAACGUAAAAUGAUUGUUGCCUUAUCAGCCAAAAACAAAAUCGGUUUUGUUGAUGGCACAUGCUCCCGACCUGCCACUAAUAUGGCUCAACAAAGGGUCAGCCAAAACCAAAAUCGGUUUUGUUGAUGGCACAUGCUCCCGACCUGCCACUAAUAUGGCUCAACAAAGGUUGUGGGAUAGGUGCAACAACAUGGUGAUUUUUUGGUUGACUGCUUCGCUCUCCCCUGCAAUUGCUGAAUCUGUGCAGUACUCUGACACUGCACAGAGCAUAUGGUCCCAACUCCAGGCCAGAUAUGGCACUGCAAAUAGGACCAAAAUCUUUGAACUGAAAAGAGAAUUGUCCCGCACCUCUCAAGGGUCCAUAGAUAUAGCUUCCUAUUUUAAUAAGAUAAAAGGUCUGUGGGAUGAACUUGAUUCAAUGUGUGUUAAUCAUGGUCAAAGGUGUGUUUGUG